UCGUAUACUCUACAUCCGAUUUGCUGAAGCCAUGCAAUAUACAGUCAGUCAGUCACUAACUGGCCACCUGUAACACCAGUCCCCUUAAUUACCUGUAGACCUUUAUUCAUGGUACUGAUGGACGCUGCCCGAGGCAGAGAUCGGUCAGCUGGGGAUCGAGCUGGUGUUUUAUAGAUUCUUUUAACCGGGACGAGUCGAUAGGAUCGGUUGGUAAUCCAAUUAAAUCAUAAUCACGAAGGCUUUUUGAAGAUGGACAAAGUAAUGAUAAUGGAUGGAAAUGUUGUUUUAUGUAAACAACUUUUGUCAAGACCGAAAAGAGCCGCACGUUUGUCGUAAAGUUAUCCCACGAGCACGUGUGCAAUUGGCGAUCGAUCUAUAUAUCUUUGAAAUUUUCUUCACAUGACAACACGAAAUCCUUCUGGUUUUAACCAAGCAACUUUUAAGUAAAUGAUCAUGAGAUCACUUUCCAGUGAUUUUCCAGUGAUCAAAAUUAGCUUUCGGUUGAUUUUAUUUGAUGAAGUUUGGCGGGACGCCGGAAAUGGUUCGUUGUAAAUGCAGAUGUCGCAAAUUCCUUGUUGGAUUGACGGAUUUCUAUACAAAAUGUUUAUUUUUCAUAAAUAAAUAAAGGACACAUAAAAAUAUCUGCUCAUGUGAAUAAUGGUUGCAAAAGUUUAGUUUAUAUUGUGUUAUUUUCGUAUCUGAAAUGCCGACUCUGCAUUAACUGCGGGUCAUGUGAUAGCCAAGUGAUUACAUUUCUACAACACGCGGGGACCGUUUGUUUACGAGAGCAACGGAACAAAUGUUUGAUCAGAAACUUGCGAAUCAUGAUCGGCCCUAAUUCGUUUACCAUUUCUUAUAAUUAAUUCAAGAAAAUGUUAACUUGCUAUAAUUUCCUGAUUUUAGUUUACCGUUAUUUCUAAAGAGUCUAAAGUGAAAGUAGAAAUUUACCGCCGCUUACAAGAUACAUCGCAGUUAUUUGGACGAAGUUUAUUCAGAUAUUAAAUAAUAUAAUUUCUUUUACUUAAUCAUUUUUUUCUCGUAUAUGCUUGAUCACCUUUUCUCUUUUGCUCUAUAAUAUCUUCACUUACAAUUAGUCGUCUUACAAUCACAACGGACUGACUAACUUCUGGUUGAAACUUGAAAAUAUCGAUCUGUUGACUAUAAUCUGAUAGUAACUUUUUGAUUGGACGUAAUUAUCGUAUAUGGAUUCUCUCAAUACACCCUCAAAUUGAAAUAAUGCUAAUAUCAUUUUAUUUUUGAAUUACUCUAGGUCAUAACUUUUACCAUCAAAAUUUAAAACAAUAUUUGAAGAAUAAAGAGAAGAAAGAAGACAUUUUUACACACAAACGAAAUAAUAAAAAAAAAAUCAACAGAUUUCUAUUUGUCUCUUAUGAAUCAGGUCAUAUGUAAUGCAUGGAUGUACUUAAAUUGUCCUGUAAAAUAAGGUAGAAGAUAGAUAGGCCCGGAAAAAAUGUCGCGCACAAAAAUGCCCUUUUUUUAGGCAGCGCCCUGCCCUUUUCAAAUCCUAGCUGGAACACUGUCCUAAUUCUGAUAUUUCCACCCCUGUUAAAGCUGUUUACAUCCUAAUUCUGAUAUUCCACCCCUGUUAAAGCUGUUUACAUCCUAAUUCUGAUAUUCCACCCCUGUUAGAGCUGUCCUACAAUGUGUUGGUAAGGUUGAUUGAUAGCAAGUGAAUUAGGAGUGGUCAGGACAACACUAUAUAUCCCACCUUUUAUUUCAUUAUUGGUCGGCUGUGCCAUAAAUCAUAUGUCAUUAAUUUCAAAGUGUAAUAUAACACUAUAGUGGCAUCGUAAAUAAUUGACGAUACAUGAUUGUCUCUAAUGAAAAACAUGCUGUCCUAGUCAAAAUUCACCUGUGUUAUAAGGAAAUUAAUUUGGAAAAAAAAUCAUGAAUGAUAUAUGUGAUCAGGGCUGUUCCUGGAAAACAUAUAUGGGACGGGAGGCAAGGCACUUUGAAAUUAGGGGACCCACCUAUAGAAGUGAUUUAAAUUUUGAUGACUCUCUGGCAUUUCCAAUUUUUUUGGGAACGGUAGCCUAGUAUAGAAGCAAUUUUAAUGUAAAAAAUGGUACAAACACAUCAAAUACACCCAACAACAGAAUCAAUUUAUUUCAAACCCCAUCAACCCAUAGAUGUGAUUUUAAUUUGAACCCACCCCACCAUAUGUAAUUUCCCCAUGUCAAAUAUGUUUUCCUGGAACAGCCCUCAGUAGAAUUUUGCAUCUGUGUCAAUGAAAUAUGUUUGUGAACUUGUUACAUAAUUUGUUAUGUCAGUCGCCGUAUUCAGGGCUACUGGUGACUUGUAAAUUUAAUGUACUGAUGCGAGAUCCUCCAUGUCUUGAGCACUGUGUACAAGUUUGGCCCCAAAAAAUAGAACUAUUUGGUUUAAUCAUAACUGCAUAAAAGAACUGUCAUAAAACAAUUCACAAUCAGUUUUUUAAACUGCUGACAAAAAAAAUAGUCAUUUGAGCAUUUAUUAAUCAUAUAUAUAUAUUCUGUACUCAAAGGAGAGUAAUUCCUAUUGAAUGAGCAAACUCCUAGUUUUUUUCUAUUUUAUGUUUAAUAGUGAAAUAUGUUUAGGGUUAGAAAAGUUAACUUGUAGUAUGGGAUUACUGUAUUUAUUUACAUACAAAAUAAUAAUUUCAUACGUAUACUGUACCUGUGGUUAAAAGUUCAACUUUGUGUGUCAAUUACAAUUAUCAAUACUUUAAAUCCUUGUAUAUUGGAAACAAAUUAAAAGGACUACGGAUAUCAUUAUCCGUGUGUCUGAAAAUCCUGAGGCAAAAUGUAGAAAUAGAGUUAACUUUAUGUAGACAAUUGUUUUAAGGUGCCUCAUCCCCUUUUCCCCUCCUUGAUACAUUGAUGCUAGCUAUAUAGGAUACACCAAAUAUAACCCUAGGUUAGUUCAGUGAAUCCUAUCCCAAAGUAAAGUAUAUUUUGUCUGAAAGUAUAUGUUUGAUCACCGUAAUGCCUUGCUUUGUUUUAAGUGUUUGUAAUUCUUUGAUAUUUAAAUAUGUCAACUGAUACAGAGUUACACUAUACCAGUACAAUCCACUGUUAUAUGUACACUCUACUGGUACAAUUCACUGUUACAGUUGCACUCUAACAUAUAGUUUACAAGUUGCAGAUACUCUUUACUGGUGCAAUUAAUGAAAACAUAGUGCAUGGAUUAAGCAGAAAUUAUUUAUUAUUUUUGGGCUCAAAUUACGUAAGUUGCUGUAAAUCAGAGAUAUCCUGAUAUUGUGUGUGAAUGUUGUAAUAGAUGGACUAAUUAUAAGAGUUUACCAUAUUUAGUCUUAUUUUAAAGACCUGAUUGUGCACAUUGUGGAAGUGUGGUCAGAAUGUAUGUUGAUACCCUUUGUAAGAAAGAUACAUGAUUGAAAUUUAGUUCUAACAAUAAAGCAGAUAUAUUGUGUGGGGAUAUAAUUAUGACAGGAUAUAUAUAUAUAUAUAGUAUAUAUUGGAAAAAUGCACAUGUAAAUACAUUUAACCAAUGUUAACCAGCACACUGUAAAAAUAUUUUUCAAACAUGUUAUCAUCACAAAUACCCAUGUACAUGUAUUAAUAGGUUUUAAAAGGGAAAAUAGUCAAGAUUCAAACUGACGUUUUCUUUUUUUUUUACUCAUUUGGCUGUUGUUGUGGGUUUUUUUUUAACAAUUGCAGUUUUUUGGGGGUUUUUUUCUGGGAUUGAAUUGUCAUAAAUGUAUUAGAAUUGAUUGUCUUACAGUUGAUAUAAUAAUAAUAUAAUAAUUGGGAGUUUUCUAUACAGCUAUAUCAGGGCAACAUAGGUGUCUCAAUGUGGUUCACAAAUUUAGGACGUUUAAUCCAAUAUUAACCAAAAAAAAGUUGGACAAUCAGUUAUUACCAAAAUACUGUUUACUAAAGCUAGAACUUCCUAAAUGCUUGUAGUAAUAGGUUUAUAACUCUUAUUUUCCACUAUGAAAAGAAUAUAUUGGAUAUGGUAUGAUUUCAUUAUUAAAUACCAGUACUAAAGCAAUUUAAUUAUUUAAUAGCUGAACUCUUGUUCAGUAUGGUUAUACUAAUAUUUUAGCUCACCUGCCCCUUUUAUACUGAAGAACCAUUGAUAUGAAGAAGGUUAUCAAUGUUAAAAUGAAUUGGAAUCCUGGCUAUUCAAGGUGUCAGAAUAGAUAGUGAACUAUUAUACCAUUAUUUACUAAUGAUCAUGAGAUGUUUAUCAGGGAUAAUCCUAAAUGAAAAUUUGAGAACAAAUUGUAAAAAUUAUUUUUCUUGUUGAAAUGUUUUUCUUUGUAUAUACCUUGUUUUAUAAAAUUCUAUAAGUAAGUAUCCAUUAAGUUUUACCCUAGAUCUCCAGAUCAGGAAGACAUGGUAGAAACCUCGUCUUUUUUGUCUUCAACAAUCUACCUUUAAUUAAUUAACUGUUUUUUGUGGUUUUUAUGACCACAUUAUCCAUACUUGUGUUGAAACUAAGGGUGAUGAUUGUAAAAAGCUCCUUAAAUGUUAGGGAUCCAUUAGAGAAAAGGCUGUUUGAACAUCAAAUAGUUUUAGUCUCACUCUUGUAAAAAGACCUAUUUAUCUUGGCAGCAAUUUCACAAGUGUCAAGUAUGUUUUGUAUUUGGAUAUCUCUGCAAAACAUAUGUAAAUACAUGUAAACUUUUUCCAUGUAUCUUGAGUUAUGUGAGCUUUUAUGGUAUACAUACAUGUCUCUACAAUUGGCUCAGAUAUUUUGUUCAGGUAAAUGCCUGUUUAUUUGUAAGGAAAGAACUACCUUUCGUGUUCAUCAAGGAACUUGCAUCGUAUAUUGGCUAACAAGGUCAUUUUACCUGUGAUAUUUCUUUUUGUGUUAGGUAAUUAAAUUGGGGGGGGGGGGGGGGAUCUUUAAUCAUUACACAACAAAGAUUCAUUUACAAUUUGGACAUCAACAUGUAUACAGAAUACAGAUAGCUUCUGAUUUGUAAAACAAGGUUUGAAUUAAACUCUUGCCAGUAAGGAGUUUGCAAGCUAGUCAAAUUGUCUUGUUCAAUGGGUGUUGUGUACAGUUGCAUCAGGAGUCAUUCCAUAGGCGCACUGUUUGAGAUAUCUCUCGACUGAAUGCUUGGAUGUCAAAGAUGAGAAAUAAAUGCAUAUUAAUAAUAAUUUUCUGUUUUAAUGAAUUUAUCUUUUAAAGAGAAAGUUUCUGCAUUAUGGAGCUUAUAUCUGACACUAAGCCAGAUUUUGUCAUUUCUUAUUACAUGGAAUGUGUAGUAUUGUAAUUAGUAAUGUAUAAGUGUUUGGUUUCUUGUAAAAUGGCACUUUAAUCAUUUGCACCGGUUGAAGAUCUGAUUUCACAGGGGUUAUGGGAAAACAAUGUGUGGCAAAUGAGCUAGAUAUAGUGGAAAAGCAUGAAAUCAUUACAUUUACUUUGUUACAAUGGUCAACUUUUCAUAUAUAUACGCAAUUUUAUGUCAGUCCAAGAAGUUUCAGUUUGAAAUUCCAUAGUAAGAUUUACUAUGACUUGGAUAGCUGAACUCUUGUGGGAUUUCUCUGUUCAUUAACAGAGACAGGGCAUAUAGACCCCUAUAGGAUAGGAUUCUUAAUAUAAGUUGCCAAACACUUGCAAAGGUUUGAGAUUCCUUGUCUCGCUCCCAAGAUGGUUGAUUAUUAAUAUUUUUCUCUCAACCUGUUUAUCCUCGUAUAUAUCGUAUAUUGAUGUUACAUCAUUGCAAGUUAAUGUUGACAAGACAUGAUUGAAUUGUCAACCUUACAUUAUUGUGUUGUUGUGAUGUCAUACAAUUGUUGAUAAUGUGCAAAGAGCAUGUAUAGCUGGAACCUCAGGGUGAGAUAAGAAAUUCUCACACUGGUGAAGUUGAGGAUAUCCCUUUCCAGGUUUAGAGAUGUCUCUCUUGCAUGGCCAGUCAACAAUGAUUGAAAAUUAAUAAUAGAAGUUUGAAUUAGAAUUUCAUAUAUCUGAAAGCAGUGCAAAAUAAUUUCACGUGAUGUCACAACAGCAAUGUAUCUGUGAAAAAAUAAUGAAUACACUUUUUUGUACCUGUAUGCUAUCUCAUUACCAUGGUAUUUAAUGUCCAUAGACAAGUGGGUUUGUAGGGGUAAAUUUUGUUACAGUUUAGGUAGUAGGAAAUUUUGAUGAUAAUCAAAAACAAACAAAAAUAACAGAAAAAAAUGAGAACUUCAAACGAAUACUUUCUUGGUUAUCUACGUUGUUCAGUAGUAUUUCAAGAUUUACUCAUUUCUUUGAAAUUUACCUUAUUAUUUUAUUUUUUCUUAAAUUCCCCUCAUAACAAUUGCCCCUUUGGCUUGUGCUCUCAAAUGAUAUUAAUGUGAAAUAUUGCACGAGAGAUUUUUUGCAGUCUUAAACCUUGGACUUGUUUAUGUAAAUAUUUUCAAUUGUUAUAUAUUGAACUUUUAAUUAAUGUUCGUUUUAUCUAGUAUAUUGAAAUGUUUCCAAUUCAUGUCAUGCAAAUAAUGUUAGAGUGAAACUAAAUAAAUUCGUUAAAAUUCAUUGAAAAAAACAAAACAAAAUCGUCCUGAACUACAAGAACUACUGAUGCUGAAUAUCAUGUAUUUAAGCUACUUAAGUUGUUGUGUAGUGCGAUGACAGAUUUAUUAUGGUCACCAUGUGAUGUUUUGCAUGUUGUUCAUGCUAUAUUUCUAAUCUGAACAAAAACGAUAUUCAAUUGUCAGAAACAGGAGAAAAAAAAUCAUAAAAUUAACUUAAAAUUUCAAACGGAUGUCAUGAAGUAUAUCAUUAAAAACAAGUCCUUGUGAUGGGAUGUACAACACAUUAUUGUAUGUGUGUGUGUGUUUGUGUGUUUAAACGAUUUUAUUCAAAUGAAUUAAUGUGUUGUAAGUGGGCAUGAUAUUGUUGAAUUUAAAUUUAGAUUGGUGUAAUUUUAUUGGCUAUUUCUGUGCCAUACCUAAAUCUAACCAAUAAUAAAGGUAAGAGUAAUGCCCAUUAUAUGUUAACAUCGUGUGUUGGAUGUUAUUUUGGGUCGACUUAAAUCUGAAUGUUCGUUCAAUCUUGCUAUAAAUAGUGUCCUUGUGUGUCAUUCCUCUCAGGAGUAACAUUCGACCCAGGAAUGAAUGGUGUACUAACUACUGGCACUUUGGGUGGAAUUGGCUAUUAUGGACCUACUACAAUAUAUUCAGGAUUUGCGUAGGAUUAGUAACUAGACUUCUUGCCUUGGAUGGUUACUUGGGUCCUACGAAGGAUUAGUAACUAGACUUCUUGCCUUGGAUGGUUACUUGAGACCUACGUAGUGUUAGUAACUAGACUUCUCGUCUAGGAUGGUUACUUGGGAUCUACGUAGGGUUAGUGACUAGACUUCUAGUCUGGGAUGGUUACUUGGGGCCUACGUAGGGUUAGUAACUAGACUAUUCGCCUGGGAUGGUUACUUGGGACCUACGUAGGGUUAGUGUCUAGACUUCUUGUCUGGGAUGGUUACUUGGGACCUACGUAGGGUUAGUGUCUAGACUUCUUGUCUGGGAUGGUUACUUGGGACCUACGUAGGGUUAGUGUCUAGACUUCUUGUCUGGGAUGGUUACUUGGGACCUAGACUUCUUGCCUUGGAUGGUUACUUGGGACCUGCGUAGGGUUACUUACUAGACUUCUCGUCUGGGAUGGUUACCUGGGACCUAUGUAGGGUUAGUAACUAGACUAUUCGCCUGGGAUGGUUACUUGGGACCUACGUAGGGUUAGUAACUAGACUUCUUGUCUGGGAUGGUUACUUGGGACCUACGUAGGGUUAGUAACUAGACUAUUCGCCUGGGAUGGUUACUUGGGACCUACGUAGGGUUAGUAACUAGACUUCUUGUCUGGGAUGGUUACUUGGGACCUACGUAGGGUUAGUAACUAGACUAUUCGCCUGGGAUGGUUACUUGGGACCUACCAUAUGUAGUUGGUUACAAGGGACCUUUGAUUUACACAAGUUAGAAUAAGAGUCUGUUUGUUAGGAGCUUUUCAUGUAGAUAUUGCUUCUAGAGGCCUUUUAUAUAAAAUUGGUUACUAGGUACCGUUUAUAUAUUAAAUCACAAAGUUUUAUUGAUGAAUGAUUAUAAUUAUAAUCCAAAAUAGAAAGAAGAUUAAUAUAAACAUAAUGUGUUGCGUUCAUAAUGACUCUUUUUGUACUAUUAUUAUAAUCAUUCAUUACAAGCGCCUGCGAUUGAAUUGUUAUCAAGGUACAUUCUAGAGGGUGGUUACUAGGGACCUUCAACGCAGUGUUAAUAACUAGAGAUCUUGGUUACUAGGGUACUUGUAAAUUUGGUGGUUACUUCACUAGAGGUUUACUACUGAUGGGCGAUUUUGCGAUGUAUUCUAUAUCAUUGUAUAGUUGUUACUCAAGGAGUGACGUACCUAGGAGUAGCUGCUAGGCAUUCAGGAUGGUAGAUACAGGCCCAUUACGUUGGGUUGAUUACAACACAACAUCCUGUUAUCUGUAUGAGCAGCAUACUUACUUCUGUACUUGGUGUAAAGUGUGGGAUGGUAAGGGACACUAAGGAUGGCCUGGCUGGAGAGGUUUAGGCCUUCCCAGCUGGUUACGAGGAGACUUGCUCUUUUUGAGAUGAUAAAUAGAGGAUAUCUAACAGUGUCUUCAGUAAUAGAUAUUCUGUUUAUUACUUUUUUUAUCAACGAAAAACCUACCCCGUAUGCUAACUAGGCCUACAGCGAAAGUUUGCAUACGUUUAUAGUAGUCCCACCCCCUGUCCAGGUGCUGACAUAUAUGUCGGGCUUUCUGAUUGGUCAAUUAUUUUGGUAUUUUCUAAUCCUUGAUUUGAUUGGUCAAAUCAGCAAAAGUGAUAUUUUUCACUAGUGAAAAUGUAAUAAUAGGUUUUAUCCCACCUUUCACAUAGUCAUUCUUAUAAAGAGGGUUCUCAUUAUGGGUAGAAUGUUCAAUUGUUCGCUAAUAGCCCCUUCCUACGACAUCAAAAUGAUUAUCAGACAUUAAUGUAGAUCCGAGGAUAGCCAUCACAGAUCGUCAAUCUAACAAUAGGUCCUACUACAAAGGAUGGGCACCGUAUGCGUUGUAAAGAUGGACGAUUUUGUACCAUCCAUCAAAUCAUAGGUUCUCUAGUAAGGCUGUUUUUUUCUAGUGAUAAUCAGGAGCGUUUUGCGUGGAGUUGAUCACCUGGCGGUAUUGAUAUAAGGAUAGAUAUGAACUAUGGCGUUACAAAUAAGACCCGUUAUGUGUAUAUAAGUCAUUAAAAUUCUAUGAUUUUUAGACAUGUCAUUCUAUAUUUUAUGUCGAUUGAAUAAAGUCGUCUAAUUUA